rnacentral:lncRNA from 1 species
GGCAGCUUUCCACACCUUUUUCCUUUUCUUCCCUACAAAUGAGUCAUGCCAGCUUAAAAUGAUACCAUUGACCAAGGAAGAGAUCACCCAAUCUACACUGAAUAAGGAGAAUAAUGUGCUAAAAAAUCCUUGCUUUGAAGCAAUGAAGAAGAAUGUCAUAAAUUCUCCUUCUAAUUUACACAUAUAGCAUCCAUUCAUCAGUGCUAGCCCUCUCUUAUGGAGAUUACUAAAGUUACUACUUUCCCCCAAUUUGUUUCCUUUGCAAAAGAGCUAACUUAGACAAGACCCAUGGGUUCCAUAUAAU